rnacentral:rRNA from 1 species
CGUGGAGGAUGACACAUUUCGGUGCGUAAACUCCUUUUAUAUGAGAAGAUAAUGACGGUAUCAUAUGAAUAAGCACCGGCUAACUCCGUGCCAGCAGCCGCGGUAAUACGGGGGGUGCAAGCGUUACUCGGAAUCACUGGGCGUAAAGAGAAUGUAGGCUGGUUAUUAAGUUGGAAGUGAAAUCCUAUGGCUCAACCAUAGAACUGCUUCCAAAACUGAUUACCUAGAAUAUGGGAGAGGUAGAUGGAAUUUCUGGUGUAGGGGUAAAAUCCGUAGAGAUCAGAAGGAAUACCGAUUGCGAAGGCGAUCUACUGGAACAUUAUUGACGCUGAGAUUCGAAAGCGUGGGGAGCAAACAGGAUUAGAUACCCUGGUAGUCCACGCCCUAAACGAUGCACACUAGUUGUUGCUAUGCUAGACAUAGCAGUAAUGCAGUUAACACAGUAAGUGUGCCGCCUGGGGAGUACGGUCGCAAGAUUA